AUUGCUACUUUAACAAUAGUGCUGACCUUUAAGUAAAAUUUGAUAAGUGCUAUUUGUUGGGGUAGUUUUA
rnacentral:pre_miRNA from 1 species